rnacentral:rRNA from 1 species
GGAAUAUUGGGCAAUGGUCGCAAGACUGACCCAGCCAUGCCGCGUGCAGGAUGACGGCCCUAUGGGUUGUAAACUGCUUUUAUCAGGGAAGAAACCCUUCUACGUGUAGAAGGCUGACGGUACCUGAGGCAUAAGCAUCGGCUAACUCCGUGACAGCAGCCGCGGUAAUACGGAGGAUCCAAGCGUUGUCCGGAUUUAUUGGGUUUAAAGGGUGCGUAGGCGGACUGAUAAGUCAGGGGUGAAAGCCGGUAGCUCAACUAUCGAAUAGCCUUUGAAACUGCCAGUCUUGAAUAUUGUUGAGGUAGGCGGAAUGUAUCAUGUAGCGGUGAAAUGCAUAGAUAUGAUACAGAACACCGAUUGCGAAGGCAGCUUACUAAGCAAUUAUUGACGCUGAGGCACGAAAGCGUGGGGAUCAAAC